UACGAAGGGGGCUAGCGUUGCUCGGAAUCACUGGGCGUAAAGGGUGCGUAGGCGGGUCUUUAAGUCAGGGGUGAAAUCCUGGAGCUCAACUCCAGAACUGCCUUUGAUACUGAAGAUCUUGAGUCCGGGAGAGGUGAGUGGAACUGCGAGUGUAGAGGUGAAAUUCGUAGAUAUUCGCAAGAACACCAGUGGCGAAGGCGGCUCACUGGCCCGGCACUGACGCUGAGGCACGAAAGCGUGGGGAGCAAACAGG
rnacentral:rRNA from 1 species